CCGCCAUUAAAACUCUAAAGAAGAAGGUGCUGUGCACGGGCUCAUUUGACUACGCAUAGUACUGUAUUAGAGAUGAAUCCCGUACGUUGGCGGCUGUUUUAAACUGGGUGCUCGGCUCAGACCCUUUUGCCAGUAUGAAGCCGAUUUCAACGGUAACUGCAGAAAGCGUCAGCACGCUCAGCUCAUCACUGGAGUAACGUCUGUACAACGGGUGAGAUAAAACUCAACGCCUGACUGAAUCAUCCAUUCCCUUUUCGAUCCUACGCCAUACGUUAAACUUGAGGUAAUCUUGCUUUUGCUGUUCUAAAAUAAACACUGCUCUUAGGUAAGAAUGGCUGAUCAAAUGCAUUAUUUUAAAUCUAAUCUGAGACACAAAGCAGUUAAAUCGUUGUCUAAUUUUCUGCAAGGUAUUAAGAACGACAGUAAGCUUGUUGACGAUGAUCUGACUGAUGACUGAUAUGUGUGAUGAGAUUAAAACUAGGGCUGUGCAAAAAAAAUAGUGUAUCGAUAUUUCGAUCUCUACUGUCUACUGUCUCUACUGUCUAACAUCACAGCGCUUAGUCCACCAUCGUGGUCUCCAAUCUCCAUUACCAACAGCCUGAGUGCUACACCUACAGACACCCCAACCCAUGCAGCAGCUGGCAGAAGUCAGACAUCAGGCCAAACUGGAUUUCAAGUAAGAAGGGCGAGAUAGCCCAUGGAGAGAAAAAAAUCACUUUGGUAUUAGGGCUGGGUAUUGUUUCAGAUGUCUCAAAUCGAUUCAGAUACAUUAGAUCUCAAAUUGAUUGGAUUGCGAUUUUCGAUUCAAUGAUUACAUUUUCACUGGCCCCACCACAAAAAAAGUAAUAAAUGAAUGAAAUAGUUUUUGUAGUUUUUACCCAUUUAUUCUUGUAAUAAGGUUAUGACACCCAAUAUUUUAAAUACCAGUGAAAAUUAACAAUUAUCAAUUCUAUUUUUGAUACU